rnacentral:lncRNA from 1 species
CUAGAACUUCCCUGCCCAGAACUUCCGCAAACCUUGGAGAUGGGGUUGGAGAAGGAGUUGAUUGUGCCAGUGAGACUGGGAGGCAGCUACUCCAAACUCCACAUCCAGAUCUUCAAGUUCAUCUUGAUUCAUAAGGAAACUCUUCCCUGGGAACUUGCAAAGAAGUUGGGAUCCCAGCCUGGGAAGUUGGCUGCCCCAGAUGUCCCUGCUCCUGGACGCUCCUCGCCCCCAGUGCUUCUGCUGCCAGUGCCCUGAGGAGGGCUGGAAGAGCUGGGUUGGGAGGAAGUGGACUUGUGAGACGGUCACACCCGACGUCCCUCUCAGGAGCAUCUGGACGGGAGACUGCACUGUAGACUCACGCUUACCCGUGAGGCCUUGGGCGAGGCAGUGAGCUUCACUGCGCCUCAGUUUCUUCAUCUGUGAAGCCUCUGCCCUGCUGACAUCAUCAGAUGGCAGUGAUGAGCAAAC